GCAGACACACACACUGAUACGCAGCAGCGACCGUUGGAGGAGAGGGAAAAAUUAAUAAAUAAAACACAGAGCACGACUUUCUGAAAGUACUAUUCUGUCGAAUGAAUACGUUUACAGUGUUUAAAGAGACCAAUGCAUACGAUAUAGUGGCUGUAGACGCACCGUGCAGACAAGCAGUCUGGUAGCUAUAAACAGUGAAGUGGUGCAAAGGGAGGAGGACAGGAAAUAAAGGAGUUACCUGGAGGGUCUCCGUCAAUCCACAUUUCAGUUGGAGCGAGAGAAAAAGGCACAGAGCGAGAGAGAGAGAGGGAAAGGAGAAGAGGAGUCCGAGUCGCGUCUGCUCUUGGCAGCUGUUCCAGCAGCCCGAUUCAUUGUUUUGGCUGUUAUUUUGUUCCUGCGUUACCUUUUUGAUGAAUCAGUUCAUAUUUUUAACUUUAAUGUGAGAUAUAACUGCUGUAAAAAAAAAAAACAAAAAACAAAAAAAAAAAA